rnacentral:rRNA from 1 species
CUGUUGAUGUGGAUAAAUGAUCGUAGUUGAUCUAAUGUGACGUUGUGUAAAUAUUUUUUAACACUGCAGAUUUUAUGAAUUGGAAUAUGUUGCAUUUUCACGGCUUCUUUGAUUCUUUUGUUCUUCAGUGAGGCUGUUAUAAUCUAUUUCUCGUUGUCUCAGCUCUAAUGUAAAGUACUCAUAGAAAGCA